AAAGAUGUCGGGUCGGAUUUCGCGGGUAAUGUCAACUUUACGUCAUUCGUCUUUGCGUGGCUAUGUCACGUCCGUAAACAAAGAGAAGAAGGUCCGACUGCUACAGCGCGUGUUCAGUGAGUUUACAAGCAAAGGGGAAGGUGACAGAGCCAAACCGACCCAGAGAUGGACUCUUUCUUGCUCGACAGGACAUCCCACUGCAGCAGGUUCAAGAGACUGAGGCCAUAUGGACGGACAGAUGAACUCUUCAGAGACUGCAGUUACUCCAAAAAAAGACUGGCAGAAGUAUCUGAGGAGAACCUGUCAGCCGAGUAUGUUUCGUGAAGGCAACGCAAGACAUAAGCUCUCGCCUCAGUGCUUUAAGCCCAGAAGAUUUUCUUCUCAGAAUCGAG
rnacentral:lncRNA from 1 species